rnacentral:rRNA from 1 species
UACGUAGGGUGCAAGCGUUGUCCGGAAUUAUUGGGCGUAAAGAGCUCGUAGGCGGUUCGUCGCGUCGGCUGUGAAAUCCCGAGGCUCAACCUCGGGUCUGCAGUCGAUACGGGCGGACUGGAGUUCGGCAGGGGAGACUGGAAUUCCUGGUGUAGCGGUGAAAUGCGCAGAUAUCAGGAGGAACACCGAUGGCGAAGGCAGAUCUUUGGGCCGUAACUGACGCUGAGAAGCGAAAGCAUGGGGAGCGAACAGG